rnacentral:rRNA from 1 species
UGCCAGCCGCCGCGGUAAUACGGGGGGGGCGAGCGUUGUUCGGAAUUACUGGGCGUAAAGGGCGCGUAGGCGGUCCGAGAAGUUUCGGGUGAAAGCCCCGGGCUCAACCCGGGAAGGUCCCGGAAAACCAUCGGACUGGAGUGCUGGAGAGGCAAGCGGAAUUUCUGGUGUAGCGGUGAAAUGCGUAGAUAUCAGAAGGAACAUCGGAGGCGAAGGCGGCUUGCUGGACAGCAACUGACGCUGAGGCGCGAAAGCCAGGGGAGCAAACGGGAUUAGAUA